GACGAACGCUGGCGGCGUGCUUAACACAUGCAAGUCGAACGGAAAGGCCCUGCUUUUGUGGGGUGCUCGAGUGGCGAACGGGUGAGUAACACGUGAGUAACCUGCCCUUGACUUUGGGAUAACUUCAGGAAAAUGGGGCUAAUACCGGAUAGGAGCUCCUGCUGCAUGGUGGGGGUUGGAAAGUUUCGGCGGUUGGGGAUGGACUCGCGGCUUAUCAGCUUGUUGGUGGGGUAGUGGCUUACCAAGGCUUUGACGGGUAGCCGGCCUGAGAGGGUGACCGGCCACAUUGGGACUGAGAUACGGCCCAGACUCCUACGGGAGGCAGCAGUGGGAAAUAUUGCACAAUGGGCGGAAGCCUGAUGCAGCAACGCCGCGUGCGGGAUGACGGCCUUCGGGUUGUAAACCGCUUUCGCCUGUGACGAAGCGUGAGUGACGGUAAUGGGUAAAGAAGCACCGGCUAACUACGUG
rnacentral:rRNA from 1 species